rnacentral:rRNA from 2 species
GACUUAAGCAUAUCAAUAAGCGGAGGAAAAGAAACCAACAGGGAUUGCCCUAGUAACGGCGAGUGAAGCGGCAACAGCUCAAAUUUGAAAUCUGGCUCCUUUGGGGUCCGAGUUGUAAUUUGCAGAGGGUGCUUUGGCGUUGGCAGCGGUCUAAGUUCCCUGGAACAGGACAUCGCAGAGGGUGAGAAUCCCGUAUGUGGUCGCAYGCCUUCGCCGUGUAAAGCCUYUUCGACGAGUCGAGUUGUUUGRGAAUGCAGCUCUAAAUGGGAGGUAAAUUUCUUCUAAAGCUAAAUACCGGCCAGAGACCGAUAGCGCACAAGUAGAGUGAUCGAAAGAUGAAAAGCACUUUGGAAAGAGAGUCAAAAAGCACGUGAAAUUGUUGAAAGGGAAGCGCUUGCAGCCAGACUUGCCUGUAGUUGCUCACCCGGGCUUUUGCCCGGGGCACUCUUCUGCAGGCAGGCCAGCAUCAGUUUGGGCGGUCGGAUAAAGGCCUCUGACACGUACUUCCCUUCGGGGAUGACAUAUAGGGGAGGCGUAAUGCGACCAGCCUGGACUGAGGUCCGCGCAUCUGCUAGGAUGCUGGCGUAAUGGCUGUAAGCGGCCCGUCUUGAAACACGGACCAAGGAGUCUAACAUCUAUGCGAGUGUUUGGGUGUCAAGCCCGAGCGCGCAAUGAAAGUGAACGGAGGUGGGAACCCUUCGGGGCGCACCAUCGACCGAUCCUGAUGUCUUCGGAUGGAUUUGAGUAAGAGCAUAGCUGUUGGGACCCGAAAGAUGGUGAACUAUGCUUGAAUAGGGUGAAGCCAGAGGAAACUCUGGUGGAGGCUCGCAGCGGUUCUGACGUGCAAAUCGAUCGUCAAAUUUGGCAUAGGGCGAAAGAC